AUACGGUUCUCACGCUGGAACGCGGAGAACCUCAAACGCUACGGCGCUACAGGAUGUGGCUGCGGCCGAUUAGGUAGACGGUGGGGUAACGGCCCACCGUGCCGAUAAUCGGUACGGGUUGUGAGAGCAAGAGCCCGGAGACGGAAUCUGAGACAAGAUUCCGGGCCCUACGGGGCGCAGCAGGCGCGAAACCUUUACACUGCACGCCAGUGCGAUAAGGGGACCCCAAGUGUGAGGGCAUAUAGCCCUCACUUUUGUGUACCGUAGGGAGGUACACGAAUAAGAGCUGGGCAAGACCGGUGCCAGCCGCCGCGGUAAUACCGGCAGCUCGAGUGAUGACCGAUUUUAUUGGGCCUAAAGCGUCCGUAGCUGGCCGCGUAGGUUCGUCGGGAAAUCCACCUGCUCAACAGGUGGGCGUCCGGCGAAAACCACGUGGCUUGGGACCGGAAGGCUCGAGGGGUACGUCCGGGGUAGGAGUGAAAUCCUGUAAUCCUGGACGGACCGCCGAUGGCGAAAGCACCUCGAGAAGACGGAUCCGACAGUGAGGGACGAAAGCUGGGGUCUCGAACCGGAUUAGAUACCCGGGUAGUCCCAGCCGUAAACAAUGCCUGUUAGGUGUGGCACCGACUACGAGUCGGUGCUGUGCCGUA
rnacentral:rRNA from 1 species